CCUACGGGCGGCAGCAGUGGGGAAUAUUGGACAAUGGGGGCAACCCUGAUCCAGCCAUGCCGCGUGUGUGAAGAAGGCCCUCGGGUUGUAAAGCACUUUCAGUGAGGAAGAACGCCUGGUGGUUAAUACCCAUCAGGAAAGACAUCACUCACAGAAGAAGCACCGGCUAACUCCGUGCCAGCAGCCGCGGUAAUACGGAGGGUGCGAGCGUUAAUCGGAAUUACUGGGCGUAAAGCGCGCGUAGGUGGCUUGAUAAGCCGGUUGUGAAAGCCCCGGGCUCAACCUGGGAACGGCAUCCGGAACUGUCAAGCUAGAGUGCAGGCGAGGAAGGUAGAAUUCCCGGUGUAGCGGUGAAAUGCGUAGAGAUCGGGAGGAAUACCAGUGGCGAAGGCGGCCUUCUGGACUGACACUGACACUGAGGUGCGAAAGCGUGGGUAGCAAACAGGAUUAGAUACCCUUGUAGUC
rnacentral:rRNA from 1 species